CUCACAUACAAGCCAGGAAAUUAGAAAGGAACUUUAUACUACCAAAAUGAGGAUAAAAAAUAAUUCAAGAUUAUUAUGAAAAGCUGUAUGAACAAGAAAAAGUUUCAGAAGAGAAAAUUAAAGAAUAUUUGGAAAAAGCGGAAUUACCUAAAGUACCAGAAAAAGUAAAAAAAUAUGUUAAAUGAAUGAAUAUAAAUGAUGGAAUUAUCAGAAGUGAUCAAGAGACAAAAGAAUAAUAAAACACCAGGACCAGAUGGGCUUCUGGCAGAAUUUUAUAAAUGUUUACAGGAUACUUUAGGCCCAUCUAUGUUGGAAGUUUAUAAUGAAGUAUUGAUUGAUGUGAAGGUACCAAAUUCAUGGA